GACAAAUGGCGCUGUAGAGGAGGGGUUCCAACUUUUCGUUUCUCUAACACUAACGUUUAGGUUUUCACUGUUCUUCGUCUGCGAUAGUGUAAGAAUCUUUCAUUUAUUCAAUUCUUGAUUUGAUUAUCAGUGUUGUUUUAAAGAUUGAAUCAAGAAAACUGAAAUACUCACCAAAUUUCAACCUUAAAAACAGCGUAUGUUCACAAGUUCUCAAUUUGAUUGUUAGGAUGAUAUUAAGUAAACAAUUAGUGUAAUGAGGAAAAUCACUUGGCGAUAGUUGGGAAAUUAUGUUAUUAAUGGUCUUUUGUGAGAACUUCUUGUUAAUUCAAUUCUUGAUUGGAGUUAGAGAGUUAUUACAUUUUCAGUGUUAUUUUAGGUUAUUACAGCACUGAAACAAGAAAACUGAAACCCUUUCUGACCUUAGAUUGUCAAUUCUUGAUUGAAAUUAGAUAAUUAUUAGAUUAUCACUAGACUUUCCAACCUUGAAAUUUUAUUGUUAAUUCAAUUCUUGAUUGAAGUUGGAGAAUUAUAAGAUUAGCAGUUCACUUUCCAACCUUAAAUUUUUUCUUGUUAAUUCGAUUAUUGAUUGAAGAUAGUGAAUUAUUAGCUUUGUAGUGUUAUUUUAAAAAUUGCAGCAUUGAAUCUAGAAAACUGAAAUACUUUCCAACCUCAAAAAUAGUCAAUGUAGUUGAAGCGGGUUCCUAUUCCUUUGCCCAGAAGUUCUCAAUUUGUUUGAUUGUAUUUACAUGAUCAGAUAGAUGAUAUUCAGAACAAAUGUUGUCGGAAAAGGUAAACUUCUUGGGAAACUAUGUAAAUAUUGGGAGAACUUCUUUGUUUCAAUUCUUGAUUAAAAAAAAAACAAGAAGAAAAUUCAAUUCUUGAUUAUCAGUGUUAUUAUUAAGUGAUUGCUGCAUUGGAUCAGGAAAACUGAAACACUUUCUGACCAUGAAAUUGUUCUUGUUAUUCAUUUCGUGAUUGAAGUUAGAGGUACACUUUCCAACCUUAAAAAUUAGUUUUGUGUUUGUAAGUCCCCCAAAAUAGUUUGUUUAAUUGUAUGUCAAUCUGGAGACUCUGACUUUUGUGUGUAUGUGCACUCUUUGAUCUUUGCUGCAUCGUCUUGAAACAACUAUUGUCACAGUAUGGAUCCAGACCAAGUUGUUGCUGGAUUGGUUGGAAUGGGAUUUUCGUUAUCUGAUAUUGCUAAUGCUCUAGAAGAUGUGGGUCCAUCAAUUGCUAGUGUGAUUGAUUAUCUACUCGAUGAUUCUCGAAGAAAAACUGCAAGCGCAUCAACUAGUACUGCAUGUUUCACCCGUCGUGCUGGUAUGAGUGUGAUGUUUUGCAAGAUAUUGAUGAUUUGGAUGGUAAAACUCUUCUUUGGGUUAACGGAUCGUUUAUACAGAGUACAAUUCCAAUUUAAGAGAAAAUUUGAUUUACCCAUAUUCCAUAACACUAAAGAUUACAUGACCUAUAACUCGACCUGUUACCAAAGUCCGAAAGCCACAGCAAAGACCUUGAAAAUUAUUUUGCGUAAACAUAGAGAAUUUUAAAAUCUUAAUAGUAGUUACCAUAGUGUGGAUUGAACCAAUUCCUUUUGUUUUGUUGUAGCUGCAGCAGUACUUUCGUCCACAUUCUGAAGUGUUUAAGUUUUAGUUUUCUCACUUGCAACAACCCUGGGCAAAUCUAUCUUCACAUCAGUGCAAGAUUGUUUAGUAUGAGAUUCCAAGAGGAUAUACCUUAGCUUGAGAUAGAUAUGGCUUAUCCCUGGCAGUUGAUGGAGGAAAAAACCUUGAAUUAUCUUAUUGUACGACACAAAUCUCUUAGUUCAUGAUCAAAAAAAUACAUUCGAUGAAAGUAUAUCAUCCUACUCUUUCUUGCAUUCUCAAACUUGACCUUUUUGUGUGACAGAUGGUCUGUUCAUUUCUUAGAAUCGAAUAAGGGAGAUUUUUUUUGUGGGUUUUCCUUAUCCUCUAACUGCUCAUCCUACUCUUUCUUGCAUUCUCAAACUUGACCUUUUUGUGUGACAGAUUAGUCUCUUCAUUUCUUAAAACCAAAUAAGGGAGAUGCUUUUGUGGGUUUUCCUUGUCCUCUACCGGCAAUGUUGCAGCUUAUGUAAAGACUUUAUCUUCUCGUCAAAGUUUCUCUGGGUAAAUUUUGUGGAGAACUACUUCUGAAAGGUUGCACAAAGCUCCUGAUCUGGCCAAUGAUUCAGAAGAAAGAGCUAAGCUUCUAAAUUUCUUUCUAAAUUUGGGAUCAAGGCAUGCUGCUUAAAAUGCUAAGGAGCAUGUCUUUAGGAUGCAAAAUACCAUGUUGUGAAAGUGGACUAAUGGUGAUCAUAAGCAUGCUGUUCAAUUGGUUUUCUUUCAUGUAAUUUAGGUAUAACUUGUCUUUGUGAUGUUAUGUGGUAGAUGUUUGCUAGAUUAGAAUCAAGAUCUAAAUAUAUCACUGCCCAAGCCUAUGGACAUAUUGUCCACUGUUGUGCAACAGACCUUACAUAUUGGUCUCUUAUGCUACACCACCAUCGAAUCCAAAAACACGUGUACCAUCCAAAGUUAUGCUAUAUUUUAUGUAACGUUCACUCUUUUCUCCCUUUUUGAUGUGAGAUUUGCCUUAAGUGUCAGAUGUACCCCUUAUUCAGAAGCUUGCCAAUCUAAAAACUUUCCCGUCCUCGUUAACUAAAAACUUUGACUCAUCCUCAUGAACUCACCCACCGUCGUGAGUGUCACGUGAGGUUGCCUCCUUACAACUUAGCUUCCUUGCUAAGAUAUUCCCCAUCAUCUUACUGUGGGAACUUGGCUUUUAUGUCAUAGUUGGUGUAACAUGAGCCCGUGUCACAUAUCGUGUGCUUUGGCUCAACAAAACUCACAGAUUUGUCUCUUGGAGAACACUUUCAUCAAUGCCCAAAAGUGCUCAUACCAUGUGAACUUGUGCUAUGUUGUUAUAUAUCACUUCACUCAUUUUUUGAGCUUUUCGACGUGAGAUUAUCCUAUGGUGUAAUAUGUAACCCUCUGUCAGCAGCUUGGCAACAUAGAAGCUUUCCAACUCUUUUUCUUUAACCUGCCCGCAUCAACCCACUCUCCGUCCUGGGCAUUACAAAAAAUGAUGUUGUUUAUGAAUGAAGUUGCUUGAUAUACUCUUCCUUGUCAAUUGAGCAGUAUCAUGUGCUCUUUCUCUUUUCAGUUGCCAAAGUCACAUCUGAGGCAGGUGCAAGGAAUUUCACGAGACCACUUUGGCGGUAAAGCUAGGUGAUGUGUUAGAUGGAGUAAUAUUAACAAACUUCUUGUAUCUUAUUCAACAAGAUAAUCCAUGUCUGUUGGUCUUUGAUCCUUUGCAUUUAAUAUUUUAGAAUGAUAUGUGCAUAUUCCCUCGUGUUCUUGAAAAGGAAAUUCAUUGUUGAACUUAUUGUUCUCAUUUUUGUGUGAAUCAAGUUGGAUCGAUUAUGUCCUGAUCUCAUAUGCUUUAUAGGUUAUUUAUCAGAACUUGGUCCAAUUGAGGGUUGAUAUGCUGAACCCUUCUAGUUUGACAUUGAGGCAUAGUACUAGUAGUAUUUGUUUUAUUGGUUUAAUUAGUUCGGUUUUGUCCAAUCUCCGUACUCUCUGAUGCUAUUUACUAAUAGAUGAUUAUAAUAUGAGAGGGUUUGUUCAUUUAGAAUAUAUUGUGGUAUGCGAAUCGAGGUUUUGACUUUUAUUAUUUAAUUCCUGCUUGUGAACGAAAAUUUUAAAAAUAGUUUCAAAGUAAACUUCACUUCUAAAAAAAAUUGCAUUGUUUUCUGAAUCGCCCUAUUACAUUGAUAGAUGCCACAAAGAAGUCUGCAACAAGGAAUGGUGGUCCUAUUAGUCCUGUUUCACGUGUCAUGAGUUGUUCAACAAUAUGGAAUGAACACUUCUUGCUGUAGAGCCAAGACACUUGUGGAGUACUUUGGCGAACACUUCUUUAUGGAGAAAUGUCUUGUGUAUGUCAAGAAACACUAGCUAUUGUGCUUUCUCUUUUGUUCCUUACAAGCUGCUUCAUGUCAAGGAAGUGUGCUUGUUCUUUUCUGUUAAUUUUCUUCCACUUUCCUUCUCGGAGUGGGUGUGGAGGCAAGGAAUGUCCACAGCACUGUAAAUGUUGUUUCUAAUAUCUGAUUCCUCUUGAGUUAGUCCCUAAAUUGAGGUUUCAGGUACUCGUUUUAUCACAGGACAUGCCACGUAAAAGAUAUAUUCAUUUGUAGCCGUUUGAAGUAAAAAGUUACUUCCUAUGCAAUGUGCCAAAUGCAUCCCAUUGCUAAUAUCUUUUUCAUUCAUGCUUACUGAUGUUUGCUUUAAUUUUUUGAGUAUAGUUAAUUUUUGCUCAGGAAAAUACAUGUUUAUCACAGGUUUUUCUUGCAAUGAGUUCGCUUUCUUAGUUUAUGGUAUUUACCUGUGACAUAAUGCACAGGUGUGAUAUAUGCAUCAAAGGUCAACCUGAAAGACAGAAUUUAAAGGCUGAGGCAAUGAUCUUCUUGCAAGUUGUGUGAAGAAAUUUUGCAGACAUCUCCUAUGGUGGUUAUGAAGGGAGACUUGGCGAGUAGCCUAACAUCAAGGCUUUAGUCAGCAGAAUAAUGGAACAUAUUGGCAAAAGAAGGUCAAGACUUUGUUACAGAAACACUUUGCAUUUUCAUUGUUGAAGGAUUUUCAGAAAGAUGCUCUGGAAUCUUGGUUAUCUCACCAAGACUGACUUGUUCUUGCAGCAACAGGAUCAGGGAAAUCUUUGUUUUUUCAGAUUCUGGCAUUGCUGACUGGCAAGGUUGUCAUAGUUAUGUCACAGUUGAUUAGCUUGAUGCAGAAUCAGUGUUUGAGGUUAGCAAAACAUGUUGUUUCGGCUUGCUUCCUUGGCUCUGGUCAAACUGUUUGAAGUGUGGAACAAAAAACGAUGGCAGGCAUGUAUAGCAUCAUUUAUGUAUGCCCUGAGACAAUUCUAAGACUCAUAAAACCCACCCAAAGCCCUGCAGAGAGUCGUGGAAUUGCUCUAUUUGCAGUCGAUGAAGUUCACUGUGCUUCUAAGUGGGGCCAUUAUUUUCGACCAGAUUACAGGCGAUAAUCUGUUUUGAAAGAGAACUUUAGAAUGGACACCAUGAAGUUUCUGAAGUUUGACAUUCCGAUCAUGGCACUGGCUGCUACUGCCACUACUCGUGUUUGAGAAGACAUUAUGCAGUCAUUGCACAUGUCAGAGGCGACAAGAAUUGUUCUCACUUCGUUUUUCCGGCCAAAUCUCCAAUUUUUAAUUGUCUCUUCAUUUCUUUAAACCGAGUAAGGGAAAUGUUUUUUGUGGGUUCUCCUUAUCCUCUUACCGGCAAUGUUGCAGCUUAUGUAAAGACUUCAUCUUCUCGUCCAAGUUUCUCGUGGUGAAUUUAGUGGAAAACUACAACUGAAAGGUUAUAGUGAUUUUCUGUUGCACAAAACUCCUGAUCUGGCCAAUGAUCCAGAAGAAAGAGCAAAGCUUCGACACAAACCGUUGCAGGACUGACCAACAAUAAUAUAUGCCCCGACUAGGAAAGAAAUAUUAAAUAUACCAAAAUUUCUUUCUAAAUUUGGAAUCAAGGCUAGUGCUUACAAUGCCAAGGUAAUAGAUCUCCCUCUGAUUUUAUUGAUGUUGAGUUUAUUUCGCCACCAAAUUAUAAUUGUUUGAAGGAGUUUAGAUAAUUUUGCAUGGUCGCAUGAUGUAGGAGCAUGUCUUAAGGAUGCAAACCAUAGUUGUGAAAGUGGACUAAAGGUGAUCAUAAGCAUGUUGUUCAAUUUGUUUGUUUUUAUGUAAUUUAGGUAUAACUUGUCUCUAUGAUAUUAUGUGUGGUAGAUGUCUGCUAGAUUAGAGUCAAGGUCUAAAAAUUUCACUGCCGAAGCCUUUGGACUUAUUGUCCACUUUUGUGCAACAGACCUCACGUAUUGGUCUUUUAUACUACACUGCCAUUGAAUCCAAAAAACGCAUAUUAUCCAACUUAUGCCAUGUCUUAUGUAACACUUCACUCUUUUCUCUCUUUUUGAUGUGAGAUUUGCAUUAAGUGUCAUAUGUACGUACCCCUUAUUCAGAAGCUUGCCAAUCCUCGUUAACUAAAAACUUUCACUUUUUCUUGUUAACUUACCCUCCGUCGUUAGUGUCACGUGAGGGUACCUCCUUACAACUUAGUGUCCUUGCUAAGUUUUCCCCAUCAUCAUACUUCGGGAACUUGAUUCUGAUGUCAUAGUUGGUAUAACAUAAGCUGUGGCACAUGUUGUGUGCUUUGGCUUAACAGAACUCACAGAUUUGUCUCUUGGACAACUCUCCACUCAUUUUUUUAGCUUUUCAACGUGAGAUUUUCCUAGGUGUCAUAUGUAACCCUCUAUGAGCAGCUUGGCAACAUAGAAGCCUGCCUUCUCUUUCUCUUUGACCCACCCGCAUCAACCCCCACCCUCUGUCCUGGGCAUUACAAAAAAUGAUGCUGUUUAGGAAUGAAGUUGUUUGAUAUACUCUUCCUUGUCAGUUGAGCAGUAUUGUUUGCUCUCUCUUUUCAGUUGCCAAAAUCACAUCUGAGGCAGGUGCAUAAGGAAUUUCACGACAACACUCUGCAGGUAAAGCUAGUGAUGUGUUAGAUGGAGUAAUAUUUACAAACAUUUUGUAUCUUAUUUAACAAGUUAAUCCAUGUCUGUAGGUCUUUUAUCCUUCACAUUCAAUAUUUUAGAGUGUUAUGUGCAUAUUCCCCCAUGUUCAUGAAAAGGAAAUUCAUCACUGAACUUAUUGUCCUCAUUUUUGUGUGAAUCAAGUUGGAUCAAUCUCUCUGUCUUGAUCUCAUAUGCUUUAUAGGUUAUUUAUCUGAACUUGGUCCAAUUGAGGGUUGAUAUGCUGAGCCCUUCUAGUUUGACAUUGAGGCAUAGUACUAGUAGUAUUUGUUCUAUUGGUUCAAUUAGUUCGGUGUUGUCCAAUCUCUGUACUCUCUGAUACUAUUUACUAAUAGAUGAUUCUAAUAUAAGAGGGUUUGUUCAUUUAGAAUAUAUUGUAGUAUGCGAAUCUAGGUUUUGACUCUAGUCAUUUAAUUGCUGCCUCAAUUCUUAUGAAAGAAACUUCUAAAAAUAAUUUUAUAGUUAACUUCACUUUUGAAAAAAAAUUACAUUGUUUUCUGAAUUGCCCACUUACGUUGUCAUUACAUGUUAUUGAUAAGAUGCCACAAAUAAGUCUGCAACAUGGAAUGGUGGUCCUAUGGUUCUUUUUCACGAAUCACGAGUGGUUCAGCAAUAUGGAAUGAACACUUCUUGCUGUAGAGCCAAGACAGUUGUGGAGUACUUUGGCAAGCACUUCCUUUUGGAGAAAUUUCUCGUGUAUGGAAUGAGCAAUAUUGUGCUUUCUCUUUUGCUCCUUACAAGCUGCUUAAUGUCAUGGAAGUGUGCUUGUGCUUUUCUGUUAAUUUUCUUCCUUUGGAGGUGGGUGUGGAGGCAAAGAAUUUUUUUUUAAAAUUUAUGCUUACUGAUGUUUGCCUUUAUCUUUCGAGUAUAGUUAAUUUUGCAGACAUCUCCUAUGGUGGUUAUGAAGGGAGACUCGGCGAGUGGCCAAACAUUAAGGCUUUAGUCAGCAGAAUAAUGGAACAGAUACCCUCUCUUUAGUAUGGUGUAUGUAGUACCUUGCCUUGAGAGGGAAGCUCUUAAGGUCUAUUUUGGAUAUGGAAAUCAAUGACUUGGUAAAGAAACACUUCUCACUUCAUAUGUUGUGUUUGCCUUUCCCCUAAAUUCUUAGUAGUGGCACCAUUAACAACAAUAA